rnacentral:lncRNA from 10 species
GACAAACUGAUUGUGCAACUGACUCCACACAAAUCUCAUUUAAUCAGCUUUCCUAAUCACCUAUCUCUCUAUCUACCUAUCUAUUUCUUGAUCAUCCGCAAAAUUGAUUGGCGAUAGAAGACACUACCUAUCUGUAGUACUGACUUGAAUUGAAAUGAAAAAUCAGGAUUCAAAUGGAAUUUUCACUUUAAGCCUUCUUUGGAAGUAAUAUAUUUUUGUUUUUCAAGUCCGGAACAAAGAAAGAACAAAGAUGAUUUGAUGUAGUGCAGCAGUUUGAAGAUAGGUAAGCUGGGGGAGAGUGAGUAGGGUUAGCAGUGAUGCAGACCUGAAGGUGUUCAGGGCAUGCCAAGGGAUUCCAUAAUAUCACAUGCUUCACAGGUGACCAUGCCAACGCAGCAGA